CAGGCCAUGAAAUUAAGUGAGGAAAGUGACCACUACCUGCCAGAGUGUGAACAUUAAUGAAGAGAGAAGAUCUGUUUAAAGGACCAUACUCUGGAAGAGAACCGCUUCUCUGAAACUGACAAAAAUGGCAAUCACCGUGACAGAUUUCCUACGUGAUCGGGGGGUUCCAGAAGAAGCACUCACACUAAUCGAGGAGCAAAAGAUCGACAGGGAUGUCAUCUUGCUUAUGGACGAUUCAGCUUUGGCUAACUACAUUCCCUCAUAUGGAGACAGAAUUGCUCUUUUUAAUUUUUGCAAAAAUCAGAAACCUGUCUCAAAGCGAAAAAUGGGCCUUUUUGAAAAGCUCAGAGAAAAAAUGAAACUAAGAAGGGAAACCAAACAAAGUGAAGAGGAGCCUAAAACCUCUAAAUCCAACUCUAGACGAAGAGUCAUUAGACGGACUGUUGAGAUAGGUUGGAUACACCAAGACAAUACUGAAAUCAAACAGGUUAGAGCAAAGCAAGGAGGAGGGACCAGAAAAGUUGUUAUGAACAUCAGUGGUGGAUAUAAUGACAUCCUGAAAGAAGGGAAAAGUCUUUUUUUCCCAAAUGGUGUUUCAAGUAAAGGCCAUGAAUCAGACUUCACAUUUGAUGUUUGGGAUUUUCAGCAAAAUUCCUUAUCUGGUGACAUCUCAAUUGGCACAAUAUAUGACACCAUCAAACUUCCCAUGCUGCGUUUCUACAUUGCCACAAAGCAACAAUCAGUUGUAGAUGUUUCUUCCACUGAAUCAGAACACACUGAUGUUAAUUCUAACUUUG